AGCAGCCGCGGUAAUUCCAGCUCCAAUAGCGUAUAUUAAAGUUGUUGCAGUUAAAAAGCUCGUAGUUGAAUUUCGGGGUUCGAUACGUUGGUCGGGCUUUUUGGUUCUGUACUAGCGUAAUGGAUUCCUACCUUCUGAAUAACCGGCAUGCCAUUAAUUUGGUGCGCCGGGGAAGCAGGACUGUUACCUUGAAAAAAUUAGAGUGCUUAAAGCAGGCUAUCGCCUGAAUACAUUAGCAUGGAAUAAUGAAAUAGGACGGCAUGGUUCUAUUUUGUUGGUUUCUAGGAUCACCGUAAUGAUUAAUAGGGAUAGUUGGGGGCAUUAGUAUUCAAUUGUCAGAGGUGAAAUUCUUGGAUUUAUUGAAAGACUAACUUCUGCGAAAAGCAUUU
rnacentral:rRNA from 1 species